GGUUCUCGUAGUUGAAUAACAACAAUGGGUUUUCAAGUCGUAGGUCUCGGUUAAAAUCCGGGCGGGAAUU
rnacentral:tRNA from 1 species